GAUGAACGCUGGCGGUGUGCCUAAUACAUGCAAGUCGAGCGAACAGACGAGGAGCUUGCUCCUCUGACGUUAGCGGCGGACGGGUGAGUAACACGUGGAUAACCUACCUAUAAGACUGGGAUAACUUCGGGAAACCGGAGCUAAUACCGGAUAAUAUAUUGAACCGCAUGGUUCAAUAGUGAAAGACGGUUUUGCUGUCACUUAUAGAUGGAUCCGCGCCGCAUUAGCUAGUUGGUAAGGUAACGGCUUACCAAGGCAACGAUGCGUAGCCGACCUGAGAGGGUGAUCGGCCACACUGGAACUGAGACACGGUCCAGACUCCUACGGGAGGCAGCAGUAGGGAAUCUUCCGCAAUGGGCGAAAGCUUGACGGAGCAACGCCGCGUGAGUGAUGAAGGUCUUCGGAUCGUAAAACUCUGUUAUUAGGGAAGAACAAAUGUGUAAGUAACUAUGCACGUCUUGACGGUACCUAAUCAGAAAGCCACGGCUAACUACGUG
rnacentral:rRNA from 1 species